rnacentral:rRNA from 1 species
GAUGAACGCUGGCGGCGUGCCUAACACAUGCAAGUCGAGCGAACAGAUGAGGAGCUUGCUCCUCUGACGUUAGAGGCGGAAGGGUGAGUAACACGUGGAUAACCUACCUAUAAGACUGGGAUAACUUCGGGAAACCGGAGCUAAUACCGGAUAAUAUAUUGAACCGUAUGGUUCAAUAGUGAAAGACGGUUUUGCUGUCACUUAUAGAUGGAUCCGCGCCGGAUUAGCUAGUUGGUAAGGUAACGGCUUACCAAGGCGACGAUGCGUAGCCGACCUGACAGGGUGAUCGGCCACACUGGAACUGAGACACGGUCCAGACUCCUACGGGAGGCAGCAGUAGGGAAUCUUCCGCAAUGGGCGAAAGACUGACGGAGCAACGCCGCGUGAGUGAUGAAGGGCUGCGGAUCGUAAAACUCUGUUAUUGGGGAAGAACAAAUGUGUAAGUAACUAUGCACGUCUUGACGGUACCUAAUCAGAAAGCCACGGCUAACUACGUG